rnacentral:rRNA from 1 species
GAUGAACGCUACCGGCAGGCUUAAUACAUGCAAGUCGUGGGGCAGCAGGACUGUAGCAAUACAGUUGCUGGCGACCGGCAAACGGGUGCGGAACACGUACGCAACUUACCCUGAACUGGGGAAUAUCCCGGGGAAACCCGGAUUAAUACCCCGUAAUAUAAUGGAGUGGCAUCACUUUAUUAUUAAAGCUCCGGCGGUUCGGGAUGGUCGUUCGGCUGAUUAGGUAGUUGGUUGAGGUAACGGCUCACCAAGCCUACGAUCAGUAACUGGUGUGAGAGCACGACCAGUCAGAAGGGAACUGCGACACGGGCCCGAAUCCUACGGGAGGCAGCAGUAAGGAAUAUUGGGCAAUGGAGGCAACUCUGACCCAGCCAUGCCGCGUGGAGGAUGAAGGCCCUCUGGGUUGUAAACUUCUUUUAUAGGGGACGAAACCUGUGUAUUAUUACGCAGUUGACGGUACCCAAGGAAUAAGCAACGGCUAACUCCGUG